rnacentral:rRNA from 1 species
UGGGGAAUAUUGGACAAUGGGCGCAAGCCUGAUCCAGCAAUGCCGCGUGUGUGAAGAAGGCCUUCGGGUUGUAAAGCACUUUUAUCAGGAGCGAAACGCUGUCGGCUAAUACCCGGCGGAACUGACGGUACCUGAGGAAUAAGCACCGGCUAACUUCGUGCCAGCAGCCGCGGUAAUACGAAGGGUGCAAGCGUUAAUCGGAAUUACUGGGCGUAAAGCGUGCGUAGGCGGUUUCUUAAGUCUGCUGUGAAAUCCCCGGGCUCAACCUGGGAAUGGCAGUGGAUACUGGGAGGCUAGAGUGUGUCAGAGGGUGGUGGAAUUCCCGGUGUAGCGGUGAAAUGCGUAGAGAUCGGGAGGAACAUCAGUGGCGAAGGCGGCCACCUGGGACAACACUGACGCUGAGGCACGAAAAGCGUGGGGAGCAAACAGGAUUAGAUACCCUGGUAGUCCACGCCCUAAAACGAUGCGAACUGGAUGUUGGUCUCAACUCGGAGAUCAGUGUCGAAAGCUAACGCGUUAAGUUCGCCGCCUGGGGAGUACGGUCGCAAGACUGAAACUC